CCGCGGCAAGACGGAAAGACCCCGUGAACCUUUACUAUAGCUUGACACUGAACAUUGAGCCUUGAUGUGUAGGAUAGGUGGGAGGCUUUGAAGCGUGGACGCCAGUCUGCGUGGAGCCGACCUUGAAAUACCACCCUUUAAUGUUUGAUGUUCUAACGUGGACCCGUAAUCCGGGUUGCGGACAGUGUCUGGUGGGUAGUUUGACUGGGGCGGUCUCCUCCUAAAGAGUAACGGAGGAGCACGAAGGUUGGCUAAUCCUGGUCGGACAUCAGGAGGUUAGUGCAAUGGCAUAAGCCAGCUUGACUGCGAGCGUGACGGCGCGAGCAGGUGCGAAAGCAGGUCAUAGUGAUCCGGUGGUUCUGAAUGGAAGGGCCAUCGCUCAACGGAUAAAAGGUACUCCGGGGAUAACAGGCUGAUACCGCCCAAGAGUUCAUAUCGACGGCGGUGUUUGGCACCUCGAUGUCGGCUCAUCACAUCCUGGGGCUGAAGUAGGUCCCAAGGGUAUGGCUGUUCGCCAUUUAAAGUGGUACGCGAGCUGGGUUUAGAACGUCGUGAGACAGUUCGGUCCCUAUCUGCCGUGGGCGCUGGAGAACUGAGGGGGGCUGCUCCUAGUACGAGAGGACCGGAGUGGACGCAUCACUGGUGUUCGGGUUGUCAUGCCAAUGGCACUGCCCGGUAGCUAAAUGCGGAAGAGAUAAGUGCUGAAAGCAUCUAAGCACGAAACUUGCCCCGAGAUGAGUUCUCCCUGAGACUUAGAGUCUCCUGAAGGAACGUUGAAGACGACGACGUUGAUAGGCCGGGUGUGUAAGCGCAGCGAUGCGUUGAGCUAACCGGUACUAAUGAACCGUGAGGCUUAACCUUAC
rnacentral:rRNA from 1 species